GUCCACAUGGUGUAGUGGUAACACAUCCUUUCAAUAUGAUUGACCGCUCUAUGUUUACAAAGGAUGAUGUGGGUUCAACUCCCACUGUGGACA